rnacentral:tRNA from 1 species
GGUGUUGUAGCUCAGUGGUAGAGCACUUGUCUGAAAAUUGUAAGGCACUGGGUUCGAUCCUCAGUACCA